rnacentral:lncRNA from 1 species
GGCCCAGGCGGGGCAGGAGAUGUGAAGAUGCCAGGUCCCCGGGGAGGGCAAAGGGCGUGCGGGCCGUAAGGGACAGCAGAGCGGUCGGGGCCGCCCACCCGGCGGACGCCGGAGGCGAGAGGCCCCACCCCGGCUCCUCUCCACACCCCGCGCGGCCUUGGGGAGUCAGCCCGGGACUCGCUCCCGGCAGGUGUCCUACCCUCCCCCGGUCCCGGUUGGCGCGGCGGCCGGCACGGCGGGCGCGGAGGGGGCCGCGCUGGUGUCACCAGGAGUGAACAGCCCAGCUAUUCAGGGAGGGGGCGCCCCCCGCUGCCCUCCGCGACCCGCGCUGACGUCGCCGCGCAGCCCGUUACGUAACCCCCCUCCCCGCCUUUCCUCGCGGGCCCGGCCUCCUCCUCCAGCGCCGCCUCGCCUGCCGCAGCGCCUCCGCGUUCCGCUUUGCGCCCAAAGGGAAACUGAGGCCCUUCUCCAGCAGAGCACGGCGGGUAGUGCCCGCGGGAGUGGCUGUGACCGUCCUCGUUAGGAUUCUUGGGUCCCUAGGGGAGCCCAGACUGCGAAGGGAGCCCCAGCUCCGCCUGGGGGACUCGGCUUCCUCCUGUCUACCGCGUUCUUCCUUCCUGGCCUGGACUCUGGGGGCUCUGGAGUCUUCUGUGGCCGCUCCACCCACAUUUGUGCCUGGGCCACCAUGUGCCUUAAAUUAUAAAGUCGGGCAGUGACGCUCAGUAGGGGUUGGUUUCUCCACCUUCCUCUGGGUGACCUUAGGCAGAUUUUGCCUCUCCGAACCUCAGUGUCCCCACCUGUCUAAAAUGGCCCCUUCCUUCUAGUGUGGUGGGGAAGAACAGCAGCAUGUCGACACCCGGUGAGUACUUAGCCAGGUAGCUGUGAACUCUCCUUAUCUAACCCUCCCUGCCAGGGGCCUGCCACAGCGCCAGACCUGGGCCUGGUUAGGUGGUGCCCAGCUGGGCCAGUCAGCUCCCUGUGGACCUUGGCCUUUGCCCUGGGAGCAUGCGGUGCAGGCCUGCCCUGUGGCUCAGCAGCUGCAGAAUGGCUGGUGUUCUGUGGCCUGGUGAUGGUGGGGAGUGGGUGCUUCCCUGUCACCUUCCUUACAAGACCCUGGGAGCACCUGAGGGUCCCUUGCGGUCCCAUUCAUGGUCUUACUAAGGUAGCUCACCCAGAACCUGUUUUGAGCAUCUAGGAAGAGCAAGCUGUGAGAUGAGGAAGGUAUCUGCCCAGGCCUUCUCUGAGCUCCUCAGACACUGGGAACCUCAGUCUCUUCAUCUCUUCCUUGGGCAUAGAUAUCAUACCUCCUUCCCUUCCCUCCUGCUUGGCCCCUGCCAGCAUGAGAUGAAAUGUCACUUUCCCUACUCCCACAAAUUGGCUUGGACAUAAGCCCAGGGCUUUAUGCUCAUUUUACCUUUUUUUUUUUUUUUUUUUUUUUUUUUGAGGACAGAGUCUUGCUCUGUCACCCAGGCUGGAGUGCAGUGGUGCGACCUCGGUUCACUGCAACCGCCACCUCCCGGGUUCAAGCGAUUCUCCUGCCUCGGCCUCUCUAGUAGCUGGGACUAUAGGUAUGUACCACCACACCCGGCUAAUUUUUGUAUUUUUAGUAGACAUGGGGUUUUGCCAUGUUGGCCAGGCUGGUCUUUAACUCUUGACCUCAAGUGAUCCACCCGCCUCAGCCUCCCAAAGUGGUGGGAUUACAGGCGUGAGCCACCAUACCCGGCCUCAUUUUACCUUUGAGCAAACAUAUGAGAGGAGAAUUAGUGUCCAGGCCACACGGCACCAGCCUCGCCUUUGACAAUUGAGGAAACCAAGAGGGGGAGUCGCUCUUCCAGGCAGGGUAACCAGUCAUCCUGGUUUGCUGGAAACUGAGGGGACUCAGGCUUUACUGGGAAAACUGGGAGUUACCCUAUCUCCAGGAUACACACCUGGCAAGUGACAGUGUCUUAUGUUCAAAGUCUGGUUGCCGAGCCUGUGUGUGGCACCAAACUAUUGCCUUCAAUUUUUUGUUUGCUGAAUUAAUAAAUGCAAAUGAAUGAAUGAAUCCUUCCCUCUCACUGCCCUUCUCAGUCCUCCUUGGGCACCUUGGCUCAUGUGCCUUGGUCUGAGUCUAGACUGUGCCAGCAGCAUCCUGUGGGAGGCCAGAUGGCUGGUUCCGCUGCUGAGUUCCAAGAAACCCCUUGGCCCCUGCUUGGUUCAGCCUCAGCCUUCAGGAACCCCCCAGGGUCCACCCAACAGGCUUGUACCGUGUGCCUAGGGAGGAGGCUGGGUUCCCACCUGGUGAGCCACUCAGCCCCGUAGUAUUAGCGGUUUGGCUUCAGACUUGUCACUUUGCUUCUUGGAGCUCAGUUUCCUCACCUAUAAAAUCACAGUACUGGGGGCUGGGCGCGGUGGCUGACACCUGUAAUCCCAGCACUUUGGGAGGCCGAGGCGGGCAGAUCAUGAGGUCAGGAGAUUGAGACCAUCCUGGCUAACACGGUGAAACCUCGUCUCUACUAAAAAUGCAAAAAAUUAGCCGGGAGUGGUGGCGGGCACCUGUAGUCCCAGCUACUCAGGAGGCUGAGGCAGGAGAAUGGCGUGAACCCGGGAGGCGGAGCUUGCAGUGAGCCGAGAUUGCACCAUUGCAGUCCAGCCUGGGUGACAGAGCGAUUCUGUCUCCAAAAAAAAAAAAAAAAAUCACAGUGUUGGUUGGGCGCAGUGGCUCACACCUGUAAUCCCAGCACUUUAGGAGGUCAAGGUGGGUGGAUCACCCAAGGUCAGGAGUUCGAGACCAGCCUGGCCAACAUGGUGAAACCCUAUCUUUACUAAAAAUGCAAAAAUUAGGCCGGGCACAGUGGCUCAUGCCUGUAAUCUCAGCCCUUUGGGAGGCCGAGGCGGGCGGAUCACCUGAGGUCAGAAGUUCAAGACCACCCUGACCAACAUGGAGAAACCCUGUCUCUACUAAAAAUACAAAAAUAGCCGGGGGUGGUGGCGGGUACCUGUAAUCCCAGCUACUUGGGAGGCUGAGGCAGGAGAAUUGCUUGAACCCGGGAGGCAGAGGUUGCGGUGAGCCGAGACUGGGCCAUUGCACUCCAGCCUGGGCAACAAGAGCGAAACUCCGUCUCAAAAAUAAAUAAAUAAAAAUACAAAAAUUAGCCGGGCAUGGUGAUGCAUGCCUGUAAUUCAGGAGGCUGAGGCACGAGAAUCGCUUGAACCCGGGAGGUAGAGUUUGCAGUGAGCGGAGAUCAUGCCAUUGCCCUCCAGCCUGGGUGACAGAGUGAGACUCCAUCUCGAAAAAAUAAAAUAGUCGGGCACAGCGCCUCACGCCUGUAAUCCCAGCACUUUGGAAGGCUGAGGUGGGUGGAUCACGAGAUCAAGGGAUUGAGACCAUCCUGGCCAACAUGGUGAAACCCCAUCUCUACUAAAAAUACAAAAAUUAGCCAGGUGUGGUGGUGUUUGCCUGUAGUCCCAGCUACUCAGGAGGCUGAAGCAGGAGAAUCACUUGAAGUUGGGAGGCGGAGGUUGCAGUGAGCCGAGAUGACGCCAUUGCACUCCACCCUGGGUGACAGAGCUAGACUUCGUCUCAAAAUAAAUAAAUAAAAUGAAGUAAAAUAAUAAAUAAAUAAAUAAUAAAAAUAAAAAAUCACAGUGUUGGCCGGGCACGGUAGCUCACGCCUGUAAUCCCAGCACUCUGGGAGACCGAGGCAGGCAGAUGGCUUGAGCUCAGGAGUUUUGAGACCAUCCUGGACAACAUAGGGAAACCCCUUCUCUAUCAAAAAUAAAAAAAUCAGCCAGGCGUGGUAGUGCAGACCUGUGGUCCCAGCUACUUGGGAGGCUGAGGUAGGAGGAUCGCUUGAACUCAGGAAGUCAAGGCUGCAGUGAGUCAUGAUUGUGCCACUGCACUCUAGCCUGGGUGACAGAGAAAGACCCUGUCUCAAGUCAAUAAUAAAAUAAAUAAAUAAAAAAUAAAGCGAGGGUAUUAAGACAUGUCUACCAGGUUGCCGCCAGUAUUUGGGACAAUACAGAUGAAAUUCUUGGCACACAGGAUGCUCUUAAUAAAUAAAUGUUAUUAUUGCUUAUUAAUGUGGCAGUACUAGCAUACUUUACCCAUUAAGCACUUUCUGUGUGAGGGUUACUGUCCUAAAUGCUGCGCAUGCAUUCACGCCCAGUGAAGAUCUGGGUUUCAGAAUGGUGUCCUGGCCAAGGUCACACAGCCAGCAAGGUGCUAAGCCAGCAUUUGUAAGAUUCGGCAUUCUUGUAGAACUUAGCUCAAAUGAUGGCAGUUGUUCAUGAUCUGGGGAAACUGAGGCAAGAGGAAGCGAGUGACUGCUGAGGUUCCCUGCCUCCAGAAAGCUGGCCCUCUCCUUGCCCAAGGUGGCAGGACAGGUUGUAAGAACAAGCCCUUUGCUCAGGCUGGGCCGCCUGCCUCCAGUCGGCUGGCUGCCCGUGCCCUCUGCCAGCCACUGUUCCCUGUUGGCCAGCCAAGCUGUGGAGCAGUCCAGGACAUUGUGUCCAGAGAGAGGGCCAAGCAGGCCCAUCCCCAACUGUGGCGCUGACCUCCCUCCCUGUCCCUCUGGGCCUCGGGCCAACUUGGCCUAUCCCCAGCCCUGGUAUGAGCGGGACAGAGCUGCCCUCACGGAAGCAGCUCUGAGGGCAGUGCCUCAGCUCCUCCCGCCUUACUUUGAUCCCUAGUUAGGAGGGGUGCCCCACUCCAAGCCCUGCUGUCUCUGCAGAGAUACCACUAGUCCCAGGGGACAGACUCCCCAGGAUGCUCCUCAGGACAAGCCAGCUGGGCUCCUGAGAUGCCUGUUUUUCUGCCCUUGGCAUGUUUGCUCUGCGUGUCCCAAAAUGCCAGCUGAGCCAAGGGGAGAGGCCCCCUUACACAGAGAGUCAGCUGUGUGGGAGCCCAGUGCCCAGGUGAGCUGGACACAGCCUUGUCUCCCAUCUUUAUGGAUAAGAAAACUGAACUGCAUAGAGAGAGUGGGAUUCACACAAAACCACACAGCCAUGAGCUGAGACUCUGCGGGAAGGGGCUGAGGAGCGGAGAAAAGUAAGGGUGGGGGAACAGUCUCAGGGAAAGGGGUGGUGGUUCAUGCCUGUGAUCCCAGUACUUUGGGAGACCAAGGUGGCAAGAUCCCUUGAACCCAGGAGUUUGAGACCAGCCUGGGCACCAUGGUGAAACCUCAUCUCUACAAAAAUUAGGGUGGCGUGGUGGCACAUACCUGUAAUCCCAGCUACUCAGAGGGCUGAGGUGGAAGGAUCACCUGAGCCUGGGAAGUUGAGGUUGCAGUGAGCCAUCAUCCCGCCACUGCACUCCAGCCUGGGCAACAGAGCCAGAUCCUAUCUCUGUAUAAAUAAAUAAAGAGCGCCUCGGCCGGGCGCGGUGGCUCACACCUGUAAUCCCAGUACUUUGGGAGGUCGAGGUGGGUGGAUCACCUGAGGUCGGCAGUUUGAGACCAGCCCAACCAAUGUGGAGAAACCAAAUGUCUACUAAAAAAUAUAAAAUUAGCCGGGCAUGGUGGUGCAUGCCUCUAAUCCCAGCUACUCAGGAGGCUGAGGCAGGAGAAUCGCUUGAACCCAGGAGGCAGAGCUUGCGGUGAGCCGAGAUCACGCCAUUGCACUCCAGCCUGGGCAACAAGAAUGAAAUUCCAUCUCAAAAAAAAAAAAAGAAAAAAAAGGCCAGGCGCGUUGGCUCACGCCUGUAACCCCAGCACUUUGGGAGGCCAAGGCGGGUGGAUCAUGAGGUCAGGAGAUCAAGACCAUCCUGGCUAACACAGUGAAACCCUGUCUUUACUAAAAAAUAUAAAAAAUUAGUUGGGCAUGGUGGUGGGCACCUGUAGUCCCAACUACUCGGGAGCCUGGGCGACAGAGUGAGACUCCGUCUCAAAAAAAAAGAAAAAAAAAGAAAAAAAGGGUUCCUUUGUAUGUUCCAGGUCUCAGUUUACUGCCUACUCAGAAACAGCCUCCCUGACCUCCACCCUUGUAGAGGACAGCUGGUUUGUUUCCCUGAGGACAAAUCUCCACAUGGAUUUCUCGUUUCCUUAUAUUUAUUGUUUAUCUUGCCCACCAGAAUUAGUAAGGCUGGCAAGGGCAGGGACUUUUGAUUCUGCUGCGACUCCAGUGCUGAGAACAGACUCUAGCACAUAGUAGGGGCUCAGUAAAUAUUAAUUGAGUGAACCAUGAAUGUUGGUUGGGCGUUUCCGUCGUUCCAGUAAGUCUGAGCGGCUGCUUUGUUUUUCUUUUUUAAUAGCUUGAGGAAUGAUUGACAUACAAUAUACUAUACAUACUCAAAAAUUGUAAUUCGGGGCUGCGUGCAGUGGCUCACGCCUGUAAUCCCAGCACUUUGGGAGGCCAAGGUAGACAGAUCAUCUGAGGUCAGGAGUUCGAGACCAGCCUGACCAACAUGGUGAAACCCUGUCUCUACUAAAAAUACAAAAAAAUUAGCCAGGACUGAUGGCACAUGCCUGUAAUCCCAGCUACUAGGGAGGCUAACGCUGGAGAAUCGCUUGAACCCAGGAGGCAGAGGUUGCAGUGAGCCGAGAUGGCAUCAUUGCACUCCAGCCUGGGCAACAAGAGCAAAAGUCUGUCUCAAAAAAAAAAAUUAUGAUUUGAGCCAGGCGCUGUGGUGCACACCUGACCUGUAUGUAGUGCCAGUUACUUGGGAGGCUGAGGUGAGAGGAUCUCCUGAGCCUGGGAGUUCCAGGCUGCAGUGAGGUAUAAUUAUGCCACUGCACUCCAGCCUGGGUGAUAGAGCAAGACCCCCAUCUUAAAUUAAAAUAUAUAGGUAUAGGCUGGGCGUGGUGGCUCACACCUGUAAUCCCAGCACUUUGGGAGGCCAAGGCGGGUGGAUCACAAGGUCAGGAGAUCAAGAGCAUCCUGGCUAACAUAGUGAAACCCUGUCUCUACUAAAAAUUCAAAAACUAGCUGGGCGUGGUGGUGGGCGAAGCUUGCAGUGAGCCAAGAUCGCGCCACUGCACUCCAGCCUG